AGCCCCCAAUUUUGUGAGUGUCCCUGAAGCAUUGUGACAAUUCCAUUUUAUGUGUCUGCGUGCUCAUAUCAAGACUAAGGAGUGAUGGAAACUCUCCAGUUCAGAUCCAGUAGCUUUUAGGGAAGGAACUACAGUUGCUGACUUAAGGUGAAGAAGCAUCUAUUUAAUGUCUGGUCAAAUCCUACAAGAAACACAGAAAUCUAUGAUUAAAAAGCUGAGCACUUUGAUAUACUGCAAAGGGUAGAGAAGGCAGGACGGUCGAAAUUUUCUGCAAGGAAGAAUGAAUUUCAGGAUUUAUCACUAAAUAAGACAAAGUCAUUUAUUUAGUCCCCCUGACACAGCAGGGCAAACUGAGUUGGCAUACAAGUUACCUGGAGAAAAAGAGAGAUGGAUGCAGAGGCUGAAGAUAAAACGCUGCGUACUCGCUCUAAAGGAACCGAGGUGCCAAUGGAUUCACUAAUCCAGGAGCUCAGGCCAGACCUGAACAUUAGAAUCCAAGAAACUGACACCUUCAAGAAAACCCUUUUUACCUAUAAGCCACUUUGAGAGGGACUCAAGACUGAUCACCCAAGAAGCUGAUGAUAAGGAUUAAUUUAGAAGAGAAGUGUCCCUCCAGGGUGUGGGGGAGGCAUCUGUAGGGUUCAGCCACCCCGGCAUCGGCCUUGUCCAUGCGUCUGUGUGAUGGAGGGGCUCCGUGUGGAACAUGAGGCUGGAGGCCUCACACCAACAGAAGCGUUCCAGAGAUAUUUUAUGUUUACUGUACUGUUCUUACUAGGGCAGAAAAGUGUCUUAAAAUAUAUUGGGGAA
rnacentral:sRNA from 1 species